UACGGAGGGGGUUAGCGUUGUUCGGAAUGACUGGGCGUAAAGCGCGCGUAGGCGGAUCAGGAAGUUGGGGGUGAAAUCCCGGGGCUCAACCUGGGGGCUGCAUUUGAUACGUGCGGACUUGAGUGAGGAAGAGGGUCGUGGAAUUCCCAGUGUAGAGGUGAAAUUCGUAGAUAUUGGGAAGAACACCGGUGGCGAAGGCGGCGACCUGGUCCUUGACUGACGCUGAGGCGCGAAAGCGUGGGGAGCAAACAGG
rnacentral:rRNA from 1 species